GGUAUAUCAGUGUCGAAGUUAACACGAUAAGCAUUCCGCCUGGGGAGUACGGUCGCAAGAUUAAAACUCAAAGGAAUUGACGGGGACCCGCACAAGCGGUGGAUUAUGUGGUUUAAUUCGAAUCUACGCGCAAAACCUUACCAGCUCUUGACAUGUACCUUAACUGGGUGAGAGAUCACUUGGGACACUUUGGGUGAAGGUAACACAGGUGCUGCAUGGCUGUCGUCAGCUCGUGUCGUGAGAUGUUGGGUUAAGUCCCGCAACGAGCGCAACCCUCGCUAUUAUUUGCCAUCAGGUAGAGCUGAGCACUAUAAUAGAACUGCCGGUGAUAAGCCGGAGGAAGGUGGGGAUGACGUCAAGUCCUCAUGGCCCUUAUGGGCUGGGCUACACACGUAAUACAAUGGCUGUGACAGAGAGAACCGAAGAUGUGAAAGUCGGAGGGAAUCUGUUAAAAGCAGUCUCAGUUCGGAUUGUCUUCUGCAACUCGAAGGCAUGAAGUUGGAAUCGCUAGUAAUC
rnacentral:rRNA from 1 species